UACAGAGGUCCCAAGCGUUGUUCGGAUUCACUGGGCGUAAAGGGUGCGUAGGUGGUCGGGUAAGUCUGUUGUGAAAUCUCCGAGCUUAACUCGGAAAUGGCAGUGGAUACUAUCCGGCUAGAGGAAUGGAGGGGAGACUGGAAUACUUGGUGUAGCAGUGAAAUGCGUAGAUAUCAAGUGGAACACCAGUGGCGAAGGCGAGUCUCUGGACAUUUCCUGACGCUGAGGCACGAAAGCCAGGGGAGCAAACGGG
rnacentral:rRNA from 1 species